UCCGGGUUGGACCCGGCGGUCCCGCCAGACAUCGUAACUGGCAGCGGGGGUUGCGCUCGUUGCGGGACUUAACCCAACACCUCACGGCACGAGCUGACGACAGCCAAGCAGCAUCUGUGCACGCUCCCUCGCGGGUCGUCGGCCUUUCGACCUCCUACCACGUGCAUGUCAAGCCCAGGUAAGGUUCUUCGCGUUGCGUCGAAUUAAACCACACGCUCCGCUGCUUGUGCGGGCCCCCGUCAAUUCCUUUGAGUUUUAGCCUUGCGGCCGUACUCCCCAGGCGGGGUGCUUAACGCGUUAGCUUCGACACAGAGCCCGUGAACGAGGCCCCACAUCUAGCACCCAUCGUUUACGGCGUGGACUAC
rnacentral:misc_RNA from 1 species